AACGGGUCAAAAAAUAACGCCGUCCGAUCCCUAAUCGGCAUAGUUUAUGGUUAAGACUACGACGGUAUCUGAUCGUCUUCGAUCCCCUAACUUUCGUUCCUGAUUAAUGAAAACAUCCUUGGCAAAUGCUUUCGCAGUAGUUAGUCUUCAAUAAAUCCAAGAAUUUCACCUCUGACAAUUGAAUACUGAUGCCCCCGACUGUCCCUAUUAAUCAUUACGGCGGUCCUAGAAACCAACAAAAUAGAACCACACGUCCUAUUCUAUUAUUCCAUGCUAAUGUAUUCGAGCAUAGGCCUUCUUUAAGCGAUCUAAUUUGUUCAGAGUAAAAGUCCUGGUUCCCCAUCACACCCAGUGAAGGGCAUGAGGUUCUCCAGAAGGAAAGACCCAGCCGAGCCAGUGCACGCGGUGAGGCGGACCGGCCGGCUAGGCCCAAGGUUCAACUACGAGCUUUUUAACCUCAACAACUUUAAUAUACGCUAUUGGAGCUGGAAUUACCGCGGCUGCUGGCACCAGACUUGCCCUCCAAUUGUUCCUCGUUAAGGGAUUUAAAUUGUACUCAUUCCGAUUACAAGACCCGAAAGAGCCCUGUAUCAGUAUUUAUUGUCACUACCUCCCCGUGUCGGGAUUGGGUAAUUUGCGCGCCUGCUGCCUUCCUUGGAUGUAGUAGCCGUUUCUCAGGCUCCUU
rnacentral:rRNA from 1 species